rnacentral:rRNA from 1 species
GACGAACGCUGGCGGCGUGCUUAACACAUGCAAGUCGAACGAAAAGAGGGAAAGAGCUUGCUCUUUCCGGAAUUGAGUGGCAAACGGGUGAGUAACACGUAAACAACCUGCCUUCAGGAUGGGGACAACAGACGGAAACGACUGCUAAUACCGAAUAAGUUCCAAGGGCCGCAUGGCCCAUGGAAGAAAAGGUGGCCUCUACCUGUAAGCUAUCGCCUGAAGAGGGGUUUGCGUCUGAUUAGCUGGUUGGAGGGGUAACGGCCCACCAAGGCGACGAUCAGUAGCCGGUCUGAGAGGAUGAACGGCCACACUGGAAUUGAGACACGGCCCAGACUCCUACGGGAGGCAGCAGUGGGGAAUCUUCCGCAAUGGGCGAAAGCCUGACGGAGCAACGCCGCGUGAGUGAUGACGGCCUUCGGGUUGUAAAACUCUGUGAUCCGGGACGAAAAGGCAGAGUGCGAAGAACAAACUGCAUUGACGGUACCGGAAAAGCAAGCCACGGCUAACUACGUG